CCCACGUCGGAUUUGAGCUGUGCAAUGUCAACGGUCCACCAAAGCACUUUCUAGGACCCUUUCUGUCUUGAAUAAAAAGCCAACACGAACAGCUCUUUCAAAAUGCAAUCCAUUUUUCGCUUUUGGCUUGGCAACUAAGCAAAGCACAACUUCGAAACGAAGCACAAAGGAGAAGAAAAUUACCCGCUUAGAAGAAGAAAUAUCAUGAAGCUCGUUUGGUCUCCAGAGACAGCAUCAAAAGCCUACAUCGAUACCGUUAAAUCUGUAAGCAAUUAAUUAAUUAUCCAAGUGAAAGAAAAGGUUUUCAUUUUCUUUGAUAACCAACCCAGAUAUUAAUUAAUUUGUUUCUGGUUAAUUUCGUCUGCAGUGCGAACUUUCUCAUGAAUCCGGGGUGGCGGAGCUGGUUUCAGCCAUGGCAGCGGGCUGGGAUGCCAGAUUGAUA
rnacentral:lncRNA from 1 species